UAAUGCUCAUUUUCAGUAGCAUUGCCGGGUUACUGGGCACUACAUUUUCUACUCCUCAUCCAGUCAACUGACCUACCUUUACUUACUGACAAGCUGUUACCUUGCACUGGUAAAAGGUGAAGCAUGCACAACUUUACCCUUCCCCUAUCACCUUCUUUCAUCUUUCUUGUAAUGACAAAUAGUGGUUGCACAUGAGCAAAGGGCAAAAGUGACACAGAUGUGCUGAAGUAAGCAAAACCCAGUGUACUGUCCCAUCAGAAAGGUUAACGGCAAAAAGAAGCAAGACAUCUAAACUCAUGACAUGUUAAAAUGCUGCUUUAAAAAAGGUUAAUGGUUAUAGCUCCCAGUGCUUGCUUAAAGAACAAACUGCAUUGGGACUCAGCCAACCAAGUGGGAAGGAUAUAAAAGGAAAGAGCAAUGACUUGAAUCAAAGAUUACAAAUUCCACCCUUAACACAGCAGAUAGCAAAGGUUUAUAGCUUUGUUAUGCAUACAAUACUACAUACCAUUAUUUUAUAUUGCUUGUAAGGAAAAUGAUUUGAUCAGUAGAUUAGGGAAAUUGUUCACAUUUUUAUUUCGGAUCCAUUCUUGUGGCAUAAACAAAAUGAGAAGACACUAAUUUGUAAAGGAAUUUCAUGGUGUCUGGAUUAGUAUUUGUAAUAUAAACUGGUUGUAGCCCUGCAACUCAGAAGAAAGGGUGGCAAGUAAUUACAUGACAGUUACUGUAUUUGCUUUUUGCCUUGGCAUUCCCUUAUGGUGAGUAUCUUCUUUCAUUUUGAAAGAACCAAUUCAAUAUGUUAACAGUAGUUAAAAAUAUGUAACAUCAUGCCAAUAUCUCAUUAGCCAUCCAUAGUAUUUUUAUUGUAACCAUCAUUAACAAGUUAACAAACAAGAUAUAAUGAAACAUGCCACAGGAAGCUACUCAAAAUCGUUUGCCUUAUAAAAACAGUGUCUAAUUUGGGGUCAAGUCAAAUUGUAUCGAAUACCUGCGGAAUAUACAGGAGUUGACUUAAAACAGAGGGGUAACCUACUGGAAUAAGGUAGGGUGCUCUGUGUAAAGUACCUGAUGCUCUUACACUUCUCAUUCCAUUUACUUCUUGCACAAUUCAGGAUUUGUGGCAUCAGUCACAUACACAGUACUAAAGAUAAAUGGUGAAAACUUUGGCAAGAAAAAAAUGACCAAUAUCAACACAGAAAGAUAAACAUUGGCCCAGAAUGCUGCAAGUUCCAUAAGAUUUAUACUGGCUUUUGCAUGAGGGCGAAUGCUUCUCUGAGAGUGGAAAACAGCCAAGCACAUCAUUGCACAGAAGGCAGAGAGGAUGGGGGUGAGCUACUACUUGGGGAACCGAGAGGACUAGAUCACCCCACUCUGGGGGGAAAGGAAGCCAGGGCACAUGUUGCCCUUAAAAAGGGCUUCAUUAUUUCUUUACAUCAUCAUAGGCCUGUUUCAUCAUGAGUUCUCUUAUCUCGUCAGCAAGUCCAGAGACUUUUAGGGAGGUCUGCCCAAGCCUGUGCUCAACUCAAUAAGCUCAAUACCUUUUGUUUCAUGUGAUUUUCACUUCUCUUUAUCCCUUCUCUGGAAAUAAAGCUUGCUAAACAUUUUUUCCCCAACUAUUUAAGUUGGUCUAAUAAAAGAUAUCAGAUACACCCAAAGAAGAUUGUCUGUCUAUGUCCUUAGACCAACACGGCUACAACCUACACCCCUCAGCACUGCUAGCAUUCCAAGCCUUGACUGCUGCCCUAUUUUCUGAUGCUCAGAGUAAGCUAAUUCUGGCUAGCUUUGGGAUAUAUACCCCAAUCUUCUCCCAUUCCCAGCAGUCUCUCUGAGGAUUGAUGGUUAAUUGGAGCCAGCUGAUUAUAGUUUUCCCCUGUGUGACAGCUUACUCUAUUAGAAGGAGAAUGUGUGGCAACCUUGCCAGCCCACUUGGAUGACAAAGGAUGGCCAAAGCUGCAAAACACAAUUAUCAGAAGAUAUUAAUUUACUUUACAGUCUUAUUUGAAGGGGAGGGUUGGGCUCAGAAAUUAAACUAACAUUUCAAGAGAAAUAUAAAUGCUUCUGAGGAAGGAAAAGGAUGAGUAGCUAAAUAACCUAGGAAUUCUGCAUCAACAAAUUUUAAACUGUCAAGUUACUUUGAUUUAAGAUUUAUAAGUGUCCAUUAUAUUUGAUUUUGGAACAACAGUUGCUCAAAAAUCAUUAUGUCAAAUAUGCCAAUCAACUUAGUAAUAAAUAAUUAACGGAAAAACCGUCUGAAAAGGUACAUAUGGGACUUCAUGUGUGAAAAGUUAAGUGCCUGAAAGUCUGUCCAAGAAACUAUAAUGGUUACCUUUCCACUUCUGAUUACUUUUGGUUUCUCUCCAUUUCCCAACAAAGUCCUUAACUGUACAGCUAGUUAUUUUUUGAACCAGGGCUAUGUUUAUUUGAAGACUGAAGACUGUAUACUUUUGUGCAACCACAUGUUAAUUAUCACUAGGUAGAGAAUUAUUUGAAUGGUGAUUCUGUGUAUAGAUAAAGCCCCCAACUUCCAAUAUUACUCUGAAUUUGUUGUAUUCUAUAAGGAUGUUUAUAAUGCUCUUUUCUUUUGGCCUUUUUUAGUUUAGUUUUUGUUUUAUUUUUGCUGCUGCCUGGGUCUCUCAAAGUUACCUUUGAGCUGUGUGUGAGUAACAUGUUAUUCUAUGACAUUGUGAUUUGGUAUAAUGCAUACAUCAAGAUCAUGUGUGGAAAAAAUAAAAACCUGAUUGAUAUGUCUCUA